rnacentral:rRNA from 1 species
CGGGUGCCAAUUGGAUUGGAUGGGUGCUUGCACCUGAUUGAUUUUGGUCGCCAACGAGUGGCGGACGGCCAGAGUAACACGUAGGUAACCUGCCCAGAAGCGGGGGACAACAUUUGGAAACAGAUGCUAAUACCGCAUAACAACGUUGUUCGCAUGAACAACGCUUAAAAGAUGGCUUCUCGCUAUCACUUCUGGAUGGACCUGCGGUGCAUUAGCUUGUUGGUGGGGUAAUGGCCUACCAAGGCGAUGAUGCAUAGCCGAGUUGAGAGACUGAUCGGCCACAAUGGGACUGAGACACGGCCCAUACUCCUACGGGAGGCAGCAGUAGGGAAUCUUCCACAAUGGGCGCAAGCCUGAUGGAGCAACACCGCGUGAGUGAAGAAGGGUUUCGGCUCGUAAAGCUCUGUUGUUAAAGAAGAACACGUAUGAGAGUAACUGUUCAUACGUUGACGGUAUUUAACCAGAAAGUCACGGCUAACUACGUGCCAGCAGCCGCGGUAAUACGUAGGUGGCAAGCGUUAUCCGGAUUUAUUGGGCGUAAAGAGAGUGCAGGCGGUUUUCUAAGUCUGAUGUGAAAGCCUUCGGCUUAACCGGAGAAGUGCAUCGGAAACUGGAUAACUUGAGUGCAGAAGAGGGUAGUGGAACUCCAUGUGUAGCGGUGGAAUGCGUAGAUAUAUGGAAGAACACCAGUGGCGAAGGCGGCUACCUGGUCUGCAACUGACGCUGAGACUCGAAAGCAUGGGUAGCGAACAGGAUUAGAUACCCUGGUAGUCCAUGCCGUAACGAUGAGUGCUAGGUGUUUGGAGGGUUUCCGCCCUUUCAGUGCCGGAGCUAACGCAUUAAGGCACUUCCGCCUGGGGAGUACGACCCGCAAAGGAUGGAACUCAAAGAAUGACGGGGGCCGGCACCAAGCGGCUGUGGGA